GGGAAAGUGGGCUGAGGAGUGAGGAAAAUGGGAGUGUGGAUCACUUCUGUUGACAAAUUCAAUACGCUGGUCGUGGUGGGCCUGUGACGAUUGUGACACCCAGGGUGUGACGGUCGUGACAGGGUUUGUGACGGUCGUCACAUGCACAGGAUUUGUAUUUUCUGCUUUUCUGUUGGUUUCUCUUCUGUUUCUACUUCUUUUCCUUCCUUUUCUAUACUUUGC
rnacentral:lncRNA from 1 species